UGGGGAAUAUUGGACAAUGGGCGCAAGCCUGAUCCAGCCAUGCCGCGUGUGUGAAGAAGGCCUUUUGGUUGUAAAGCACUUUAAGCGAGGAGGAGGCUACUUGGAUUAAUACUCUAGGAUAGUGGACGUUACUCGCAGAAUAAGCACCGGCAAACUCUGUGCCAGCAGCCGCGGUAAUACAGAGGGUGCGAGCGUUAAUCGGAUUUACUGGGAGUAAAGCGUGCGUAGGCGGCUUCUUAAGUCGGAUGUGAAAUCCCUGAGCUUAACUUAGGAAUUGCAUUCGAUACUGGGAAGCUAGAGUAUGGGAGAGGAUGGUAGAAUUCCAGGUGUAGCGGUGAAAUGCGUAGAGAUCUGGAGGAAUACCGAUGGCGAAGGCAGCCAUCUGGCCUAAUACUGACGCUGAGGUACGAAAGCAUGGGGAGCAAACAGG
rnacentral:rRNA from 1 species